CAUGGUUCCCCCGAGCCAACAGAUCUCCAGUGGCCUCCCAGUGGCAGCCGGAGCUUGGGACUCUCUCAGAGUCAAAAGGAGAAGCCAUAACCUCUGAGCACGGACCAGGCCAGGAUCUGCCCUCCAGCAGUUUCACCUGUUUCCAUCAAGGGGCAGGAAGGCCAGGCAGUUGUUAAACCCGUUUCACCAGCGAGGACAUGAGAAGUGGACAGGUGAUGUGCCUCACUCAAGGUCACAUGGCCAGGAAGGUGUGAACAUAAGGUGAGGCCAGCAGCCGGACGUGGGAAAGGAAAACCAGUGGCCAGAUUCCAGAGAGGAUACACAGCGCUCGUCAUCACCACCAUCAGAGCUCCCAGCGACUGAGCACUUCCUGGUUGCCUGUGCUCUCGCCCAACCCCCUGAGCCUAUGGGAAAAGGCCUUUAAGUGGUAAAGAAUCCGCCUUCGAAUGCAGAGGACAUAGGUUCGAGGAACUAAGAUCCCACGUGCCGCCGGGCAACUAAGCCCACGUGCCACAACUACUGAGCUUGUGCACCUCAACUAGAGCCCGCCAGCCGCACACUACAGAGCCCACGCACUCUGGAACCCGCGCACCACAACUACAGAGCCCAGGUGCCCUGGAGCCUGUGUGCCACAACUAGAGAAGAGAAAACCUGCACAUCACAACUAGAGAGGAGCCCACACACCACAACGAAAGAUCCCACAUGCCUCAACGAAGAUCCUGCGUGCUG